rnacentral:rRNA from 1 species
ACGCUCGACACCUACGGGAGGUAGCAGUGGGGAAUAUUGCACAAUGGGGGAAACCCUGAUGCAGCAACGCCGCGUGAAGGAAGACGGUUUUCGGACUGUAAACUUCUGUUCUUAGUGAAGAUAGUGACGGUAGCUAAGGAGCAAGCCACGGCUAACUACGUGCCAGUAGCCGCGGUAAUCUGAGCGGGCUGGCAAGGC